rnacentral:lncRNA from 1 species
GGGACUACAGGUGCGUGCCACUGUGCCCAGCUCAUUUUUAAAUUUUUGGUAGAGACGGAGUUUCACCAUGUUGGCCAGGAUGGUCUCAAUCUCCUGACCUUGUGAUCCACACCUGCCUCGGCCUCCCAAAGUGCUGGGAUUACAGGUGUGAGCCGCCGCGACUGGCCUAUUGAAUUCUUAAAUAUGAAGAAGCCAGCCCUGUUGGCAGUUUAUCAGCUUUAAUCACCAUUACUGAAACUGGUGCUAUGAUUGAUCAUGCCUGGUCCUCCAGUCUUCCCUGGCCACUGUACCGCAGCUGCAUGAACAGCUGCGUUUGCUCAAUGGGAAGGAGACUUCCUGCUGGGGGAGGUAUGGGAGGGAGGCCCCGGGGAGAGGCAUGAGGAAAUCCAAGUGGCCUUCUACAUUUUUCUCUUUCAUCAUUAUCCAUAUCUUGAUUCUAGAACUUUAUUUUCUGGUGUCUCAGAAAGUUAAGAAACCAGUGUCUUCAAAAGUGAGAACCUUCAUUCAGACCCAUGCGUAUCAUUGGAUUAUUAUUUUUGGCUAUGUAAGGGAGCCUCAUUGACCCAUUUUUUUGUUUUAAAUUCUUAUUUAAAUGUCUGCAAUAAUGACAUUUUUGUAACUGGCCCUUGCUGGACACUGGAUCGGUGUGAACAUUCACUUCCUCCUGUGUAGUUGGACUACCUUCUGGAGCAAUUCUUUCCCUUCCUAAGGCUUUGCUGGAUCCCCGCCGCCCCGAGAUCCCAACAGAACAAAGCAGGUGAGACCCUCAUGGGCAGUGCUGAAGGCUCUGACCUUACAUAACUUAACCUCACUGAUUAAGCUUGGUUCUUGGUCUCUGUGUGCCUUCAUGCUGUGCUAGGGGCUGGGGAUGUAGCAGGGGGCAAGUCUGAAAAAGUCACCUGCCCUCAUGGAGCUUACAGUCUGCUGGGAAAUGGACAAUAAAUACAUAAGAUAAACAAGUAAAAUAUAUACUAUGUUAGGUACUCAAAUGCUAAGCAGAGUAAAACAGGAAUGAGCUAGGAAGUGGGGAUGGGGAUGUGCGUGGGUGUAAUUUGAGAGGUGGCCUGGGAAAGCCCCUUUGAGAAGGUGCAUUUUGAGUGAAGGCCUGAAGGAGGUGAAGGAGCUAGCUGUGUAGAUACCUGAGGAAGAACUUUCUAGGCAGAGGGAACAGGCAAUGCAAAUCCCCUGAGAUCAUGUCUGGUGAGUUUGCGGAGGGCAACGCUAGGAAAUGAGAUCACUGAGGUAAUUCGGGCCAGACCAUGUGGGCAAGCCAAUAUCUUAUUCACUGUUGGUAUUGUUGUAUUAACAACCACCAUCUUGUCGGGUUUUCUUACCUCCAUCCUGAAUUUCUUUGCCUAGGGGCAUGAGGAAUGGAGAGGAGUGUGUUUUGGAGAAGUAUAUGAGAGAGAGGAGGUUAAAGCUAGGAAAAGACACAGGAUGAUAAUCAGGUUUCAGAGAAAUGGGGACUGAGAGGCACCCUGGAGUGGAGAGCAGGAAUUAGCUUAGUGGUUCAGUGUGUUGGCUUUAAAAUGGUCGGCUUUCCUCUUGUGGUGUGAAGUGCCAGUCAUCUGUAUGUUCUUUCUUUUCAGAUUUAGAACAAAGUAGGAAUCUAGAUCUCAGUCUUACUCUCCAGAGAGCUUCCUUUCUUGUAGUCCUUCCUAACAUUCAGCUGCUAAAUUUUUAACUACCUAAUGCAAGCAGACCUCCUAGGAGAUUUGAGGCUAGAUAUGUAGCCUGGAAACCUCCCAGGACUCAGGAAGGGCAGCCAAGAGAUCCCUUUACAGCAGUGCUCAGACUGCCUGUCCCGGCUGGUGUUUUGCAGAGAGGAGAACUUAAUCCCGUAUUCUCCAGAUGUACAGAUACACGCAGAGCGAUUCAUCAACUAUAACCAGACAGUUUCUCGAAUGCGAGGUAUCUACACAGCUCCCUCGGGUCUGGAGUCCACUUGUUUGGUGAGUAGAGCCCACAGCUGCCCUAUUUCACCCUUGGUGGAUCAUUGGUUGUUUCUUUCCUAAUUCUUAUUCCAUCUGCCUUCCAGGUUGUGGCCUAUGGUUUGGACAUUUACCAAACUCGAGUCUACCCAUCCAAGCAGU